AUUAUGACCACCUUCCUAAUGUUGUGUCCUAACGCCGCCAUCUUGUGGGUGUUUGGAGAAUUGCGCGCAGGAUCGCCAUCACAGCGCAUCUGAGGGGAGACGAGACAACUUCGUGCACAGGAGCAGAAGGUGUCAGAAGAAGGGCAAAGUUGUGUGAUAAGGGGUACUUUUCAAGAUGGUUCAGACACAGACAGAUGCAGAGACUCGCACCUCCAAAGAUCAUUACUCCACUUCGUCUCAAACAGUCCGCAAACCAACCUGGAUGAUUAUUAGUCUGGUGAUCAUGUUGGCAGCAAUUAUAUUACAUAUCUUGAUCAACCAGCAGCUGGAGAUCACUGAGCUGAAGAGGACAAACACUGAGCUAAACAAUCAGCUGGGGAAGAUCUCAUACAUUGGAAAGGGACUGGAUUUUCUAAGAGUCAUACACAAUUUAAUUUCCUUAUUUAAUUAAAAAUUUCUGAGAGACGAAAUACACGACUACAGCAUUUUGCAUUAAAGGUAGAAUGAAAUAUAUGACAAAUGCAGACUCCUUCAUGACCCAUAAAAUUAUAAAAAUGUGUUCUCAUCUCGUUCAGCAGAAGUAUAUUUCAUUCAAAAUGCUUUGUGUUUUGUCAAUAAAAUGUUCUCAAAUGAACCAAGAAAUUAUGUGGAAUCAGUUGAUGUACCAUCAAAAUGUUUGCAGAAGAGGGUUAAGAAUGUUUUGUGAAUUCAGCGUUAUUAUAGACAUUAUCACAUCUUACAGCUCUUUAUUUAGUAGGUUAUUUGCUUGAAAAAAUACACCUCCACUCUUUUCUCUGUUGUCUUUUAUAAAAGCUUUUUAAUAUUUAUAAUAUCCCAUAUCUAUAUGUUUAUAUUAAGUGUUGUUUUGAACAUCAGCACUAUUGCAAAAGUGAAGCCUACUGCUUUUAUACAACAGUGCAGAGCUGAAAACACAUAGGCUAUAUCUGUAUAUGGAUGUGUGCCUACAUUUUUUUUUAACAACUUUUUCCACUUUUGAUGUUUUUUCUAGCCAGAAUUUUAAAUAUUUGAUCAGUAAUCACCAACGCUUGUUCUAUUUUGUUGUCGAUAGGCCUAAUUAAACCAUUAUGCUGCCUCAGAUGUCUCUGAAAUCAUUUUCGUGAUGUACUUUGUGCACAAACGCUGCCUGCAAAGUCAUUGCCUGACAGGAAACAGCUUUCAGAUGCAGUCCCUGAAUGAAUCAGCUGUUUGACUGAAUGAUUGAAUGAUUCACUCGUUAAGACAACUACUUGUCGCCACCAACUAAUUUAAUUUCUUUUUUCCCCAGUCAUUUCAUUUUUCUACAUUUAUAUGUUGCGCCUGCAAUAAAUCGUUCCUGCGGAAUGGAGAGGAAGAUCACUGAGCUGAAGAGUGAAAACACUGAGCUAAACAAUCAGUUGUAGGAGCUCUUACGUUUAAAAAUAAUUGUGGAUAAUAAAAAAAAAAAAAGAUCAAAAAUAUGUUUUCAUUCCUUACAAAAGAAAAUCCUAAAUGAUGAAAUACAUGACUGCAGUGAAACACAUCUAUAACUGCAUGAGAGGAUGAUAUGAGCUGUAAGAUUCCCGCUGACAUGUUGAUAGUUUUACUUUAGUUUUAUUUUCCCUCCCUUUGAUGUAUUAGAAAAGAUUUGUGAUUUUGAUUUUUCUUAUGAUUUGUAUUUUUAUGAUAUGUUAAUAAAUCUCUGAUUCUGUAUACUAAUGAAAAAAAAUGUGUCCAAAAAAUGUUUUAAUAAAAUGUUCCCAAAUGAACCAAGAAAUUAUGUGAAAUCAUUU